UCCAGAGAAGAGGGAGUUCUGAGAGAAGUGAAUAAUGAGAGGGAGAAGGCCAAGACCCUAAAAACCAGGCAGAAGAAGCAUGAUAGGGUCUGGGACUGCCUGGUGAUGCCUGUCUACCAGCCAUGUCUGGAAGUUGGAGAGAUCACAUGGCCACAAGUGGGUGUCCUGCCUUGGACUUGUCUUGAUAAGGAAUGACCUCCAUUGUCUCCCUGGAAGACAGUCCAAGGUGGCGUUAACUCUGGGGGCAGAUCAUUCAUCUGUGCUGCUGCCUCACUCAGAAUACAACAGUCCAUGACACAGAUUGCAGAUUUCUUUCAUACCACCAUG